CGCAUCUGUGCAUGCAGCAUAUCAAUAAGCGGAGGAAAAGAAACUAACAAGGAUUCCCUUAGUAACGGCGAGUGAAGCGGGAAGAGCUCAAAUUUGAAAUCUUCAAGGCUUUACCUUGACGAAUUGUAGUUUAAAGAAGUGUUUUCUGUUGAAGUUUUGGUAAAAGUUCUUUGGAAUAGGACAUCAUAGAGGGUGAGAAUCCCGUAUUUGACCAUUAUUUUCAGCUGUGUGAUACACUUUCAAAGAGUCGGAUUGUUUGGGAAUGCAGUCCAAAAUGGGUGGUAAAUUUCAUCUAAAGCUAAAUAUUGGCGAGAGACCGAUAGCGAACAAGUACCGUGAGGGAAAGAUGAAAAGAACUUUGAAAAGAGAGUUAAACAGUACGUGAAAUUGUCAAAAGGGAAGCGUUUGACACCAGUGUUGUUUUCUCGAAAAUCAAUUAAAAAGAGUUGGAUUUUGUGUUGUAUUGACCUUAACAGCUUGCUUCACUCUUUUCCAGCUUUUUUUAAUGCACUUUUCGUUUAACAAGUCAACAUCAGUUUCUUUUGUUGUAAAAGGGUCAUUGGAAGGUGGCUUUCUCUUCGGAGAAAGUGUUUAUAGCCUUUGAUCUCUGCAAUCGGAGAGACUGAGGUCUGCAGCGUAGAUCCUUCGGGGUUAGAUACAUUUGUGCUAAGCUACAGCUUUUCAUAGACAACUUGCUGACUAUGUUUAGUCUUGUGACUUACCCGCUUAUGCUAUUUUACCUACGCUUAGGAUGUUGACGCGCGUGUGUGCGUG
rnacentral:rRNA from 1 species